rnacentral:lncRNA from 1 species
UUUUUUUUUUUUUUUUUUUGUCUAUUAGAAUUUUAGCUAGAUUCACUUCCCACUUCUGACUUAUUCUGGCCAUUUUCACUGCAGUGUUGAGGUCCAUGCACACUCGUACAUGUCAAGGGAUGUAAAUAAUACAAUACUAAAAAGGGACAGCCUUGGCCCCUGCACACUGCACAGCCUUUUGCUGUUCAUUGGCCCCACCCCGAGGAAGUAGCCACUAUGGUAGCAUGUUGGCAACUGUAUAUAUGUUGGAUAAAUUGAGUGAGAUGAGUGCGUCAUUUCACUUUCAAUGAAUGGAAGGAAGGCCGCUGCAGGGUUUAAUCUGGCUUCUUAGGACCCUGAGAAGAUGGUUCUAACUUCCAUAUAUGAAUUUAGUGCAUGGUGGUAAGAGAAGAAAGAAAGGACCUGUAGAUUGACUCUUAGUGCUUUUUCUGUUUUGUUAACAUGUGAACUUCUUACUCUGCCUUCCUCCCUGAGCCUCCUCCUCCCUGAAGCCUUAUUCUGAUGAUCGAGGCUGAUCUUAAUGCAUUCCCUCCCACCUUCAUCUGAUUAUGAUGCAAAUGUCGUCUUCCUUAGCUUCUUCCCAGCAGUGCAGUCAGCAUGGCACAUACAGGGCAUAUGCCAACAAGUGUUCUUGUCCACUGCGUUCUUCUCUUUGGAAAGAUGAACACAGGGCAUUUCUUCUCCCUUUCCUCAUGGCUUCCACACGUUUUGUGUACACUGCAUGUAGCUGGGGCAGCUGACAGUUUGAUUACUUCUUGAUAAUUUUGGCAUCCAUUUAAUUUCUGUUAGUGGAAAAAAGUACUCAAGAAAUGAUGGAUUCUGGGUUAUAGCCACUUUGAGCAUCUUUCUGGAUCUUAGGUCAUUUUGUCUUGUGACAGUGCCUAUUUAGCAUUUGUAGAUUAUAAAAAUAUAAAUUAUUAGAGAACAGUUAAUAGUCAAAAUGGUAAGUUAGGUUUUAAUAAGAAAUAUCUUACUGAGAUGACUGGCACCUAUUAGAAGGAACUUUAACACACACAACAACACACACACAAACACCACACACACAAUACACACAUACCAUUCUCCCACCCCCCCAGACACACACAUACCACCACCACCACCACCAGCACACACUCUCCAGCGAACAGGCAACAUACACCAGCUGAUAUGAGGCCCCCAACACACAUACAGUAGAGGACUUCCAGGUCUGUGUUCAUUCAGAGAUGAUGCACCUAACCCUCAAGAGACUGGAGGCCCCAGGGAGUUUAGAGGUCAGGUGGGGUAGGGGGUGGGGAGACACUGGGGUGAGGAGGAGGUAAGGGGUGUGGAACAGUUGGAGGGUGGAUUGGGGUGGGGAACAGAACAUGGAGUGUAAAAAAAUAAAUUAAUUAAUUAGAAAAAAGC